rnacentral:misc_RNA from 1 species
AAGUCGUAACAAGGUUUUCGUAGGUGAACCUGCGAAAGGAUCAUUCACGCGUCCGCUUUUGACACAAACCUGUGUUCCGUACACGCACAUGUGCAUCUUCGGGUGCACCUUUUUGUUAAGACCAUUGUCAUUGACACACUUUAUAUUACUACAACUGUUAGCAACGGAUCACUCGGCUCUC